GGGAGACACCUUGAUCAUGAAGGAGGUUUUCCCAGGGUGAGGCUCAACCACUACACGCCAAUUGUGUUGACUCCUGGGAUUUUCCCAAAUGCAGGAAAUGUGUA
rnacentral:snRNA from 1 species